rnacentral:rRNA from 1 species
AUGAGAUGCCUUUGUUUGUUUGGUAUCCGUGCAAACCUCGCCCAAGCCCAAGGCAAGACAGGAAAAGUUGCAUGGCUUUUCGCCGGUUGCAUGCGAUUAGUGCGACCCUGCAGCCUGCAGGUGACUGAAACUCAAACAGCUCCAGUUGAGUGCUGUCGUCUGGCCGGUCUUCUGUGCGGCCUGUUUGGACGGUCUGUGCGGCUGGCGUGCCUGCUCCACCUCCGGCCCUUGGUUGGCCCAUCCUCUCUCGGCGUUUGUAAAGGCACCCACAACACUCAUGAUGACACCACAGCCAAGUGCGUGACCUUUGCUUCUGGAGCAAUCUCGCCGCACCUUUUGCCCCGCGCAACACCGUGGUGUAUGCAUCUCACGUGUGUUGCCUCCAGUUGCAGCAGCCAUCAUGGCGUGUUGCUGCCAGUGCUACGCUCGAGCUGUGCGCUGCAGCUGCCCUUCCAGUCUCCCAUCGCUGGAAAACUUUUGCAAAACUCUUCCCAAGCUCGGCGACGCAGCCCUAGGCAGCCUACCAGACAGGAGCCUGCUGAGAUUAAGGAUGCAAAUGGUGGUACCCACUGCCUCUAG